ACAACGGAGAGUUUGAUCCUGGCUCAGGAUGAACGCUGGCGGCGUGCUUAACACAUGCUAGUCGAACGGGAAACAUUUUAUUGAAGCUUCGGCAGAUUUAGUUUGUUUCUAGUGGCG
rnacentral:rRNA from 1 species